rnacentral:rRNA from 1 species
UACGUAGGUGGCAAGCGUUGUUCGGAAUUAUUGGGCGUAAAGGGUGCGUAGGCGGUCGCGCAAGUCGGAUGUGAAAUCUCAGGGCUCAACCCUGAAACUGCAUUCGAUACUGGCGUGGCUAGAGUGCUGGAGAGGAGACUGGAAUUUACGGUGUAGCAGUGAAAUGCGUAGAUAUCGUAAGGAAGACCAGUGGCGAAGGCGAGUCUCUGGACAGCAACUGACGCUGAGGCACGAAGGCCAGGGGAGCAAACGGG